rnacentral:rRNA from 1 species
AGUUCCAGGAAAAUCACAUUGAAUACACCAGUUCUUGUCAGAUCACUGAAGUUAAGCAAUGUCAAGUGUGGAUAGUAUUUGGAUGGGUUAAUUAUAUUUUAAUUAUCUCACGUUAAAAAAAAAUCUGGUGUGA